rnacentral:rRNA from 1 species
UACGGGAGGAGCAAGCGUUGUUCGGAUUUACUGGGCGUAAAGGGCGCGUAGGCGGUCAGCACAAGUCAGUUGUGAAAUCUCCGGGCUUAACUCGGAAAGGUCAACUGAUACUGUGCGACUAGAGUGCGGAAGGGGCAACUGGAAUUCUUGGUGUAGCGGUGAAAUGCGUAGAUAUCAAGAGGAACACCUGCGGCGAAGGCGGGUUGCUGGGCUGACACUGACGCUGAGGCGCGAAAGCCAGGGGAGCGAACGGG